UGGGGAAUAUUGCACAAUGGGCGCAAGCCUGAUGCAGCCAUGCCGCGUGUAUGAAGAAGGCCUUCGGGUUGUAAAGUACUUUCAGCGAGGAGGAAGGCGUUGUGGUUAAUAACCGCAACGAUUGACGUUACUCGCAGAAGAAGCACCGGCUAACUCCGUGCCAGCAGCCGCGGUAAUACGGAGGGUGCAAGCGUUAAUCGGAAUUACUGGGCGUAAAGCGCACGCAGGCGGUCUGUCAAGUCGGAUGUGAAAUCCCCGGGCUCAACCUGGGAACUGCAUUCGAAACUGGCAGGCUAGAGUCUUGUAGAGGGGGGUAGAAUUCCAGGUGUAGCGGUGAAAUGCGUAGAGAUCUGGAGGAAUACCGGUGGCGAAGGCGGCCCCCUGGACUAAUACUGACACUGAGGUGCGAAAGCGUGGGGAGCAAACA
rnacentral:rRNA from 1 species